UACGGGGGGGGCAAGCGUUGUUCGGAAUUACUGGGCGUAAAGGGCUCGUAGGUGGCCAACUAAGUCAGACGUGAAAUCCCUCGGCUUAACCGGGGAACUGCGUCUGAUACUGGAUGGCUUGAGGUUGGGAGAGGGAUGCGGAAUUCCAGGUGUAGCGGUGAAAUGCGUAGAUAUCUGGAGGAACACCGGUGGCGAAGGCGGCAUCCUGGACCAAUUCUGACACUGAGGAGCGAAAGCCAGGGAGCAAACGGG
rnacentral:rRNA from 1 species